rnacentral:rRNA from 1 species
CAGCAUSUGCGGUAAUUCCAGCUCCAAUAGCGUAUAUGUAAAUUGUUGCGGUUGAAAAGCUCGUAGUUGGACUUCUGGCGUCCGGGUUUGGUCCGCCUCGAGCGAGUACUGGAUCCGGUCGUCGUUUGUGUCGACGAGGUUCGUCGGACUUCACUGGCUGGCGUUCUCCAGUCGACAGGGUUACUUUGAGGAAAUCAGAGUGCUCAAGGCAAGCGCACGCUCGUGACUUCACUAGCAUGGAAUAACACAGAUGGGCUCUUUUUCGCACCGUUGGUCUGCGUCAAUUGAGCAACGAUCGAUAGAGACGGUCGGGGGCAUUCGUAUUGCGCAGUUAGAGGUGAAAUUCUCCGAUCUGCGCAAGACGCACUAAUGCGAAAGCAGUUGCCAAGGACGUCCUCUUAUGAUCAAGAGCGAAAGUCGGGGGAUCAAAGAUGAUUAGAUACCGUCGUAGUCCCGACCAUAAAUGAUGCCGACUGAGCGUCGGCGACUCGGCCAUCGGCCGUACGUCGGCGCUCUUGAGAGAAAUUAAAGUCUUUGGGCUCCGGGGGUAGUAUGGUCGCAAGUCUGAAAC